AUUCUUUUCAGUUCAUAAGAGUGAGAUGUGCCUCCCUCUAACCUUGUCAUGACAUUGGCACAUUACCCAUCUGAUG
rnacentral:snoRNA from 1 species